rnacentral:rRNA from 1 species
GCUUAACACAUGCAAGUCGAGCGGUAAGGCCCUUCGGGGUACACGAGCGGCGAACGGGUGAGUAACACGUGGGUGAUCUGCCUCGCACUCUGGGAUAAGCCUGGGAAACUGGGUCUAAUACCGGAUAUGACCUUACAUCGCAUGGUGUUUGGUGGAAAGAUUUAUCGGUGCGAGAUGGGCCYGCGGCCUAUCAGCUUGUUGGUGGGGUAAUGGCCUACCAAGGCGACGACGGGUAGCCGGCCUGAGAGGGCGACCGGCCACACUGGGACUGAGACACGGCCCAGACUCCUACGGGAGGCAGCAGUGGGGAAUAUUGCACAAUGGGCGAAAGCCUGAUGCAGCGACGCCGCGUGAGGGAUGACGGCCUUCGGGUUGUAAACCUCUUUCGACAGGGACGAAGCGCAAGUGACGGUACCUGUAGAAGAAGCACCGGCCAACUACGUGCCAGCAGCCGCGGUAAUACGUAGGGUGCGAGCGUUGUCCGGAAUUACUGGGCGUAAAGAGCUUGUAGGCGGCUUGUCGCGUCGAUCGUGAAAACUUGGGGCUCAACCCCAAGCUUGCGGUCGAUACGGGCAGGCUUGAGUACUUCAGGGGAGACUGGAAUUC